UCCCAAUGAGAUUGAAACAAAGAUUGAGAACAAUGGUUUAGUGUCCCAGGUACUCUAACUUUAAAUGUGCCCGUUAUUGGAUAACGUUCAUCUUCGAUGCGUUUAAUAGAAAGAUGUUUAGUAGAAAUUGCAUAAUUUCUUGGGGAUUUCUUAUAUCCACUUGAUUACACUAUAGGGAACGAUUUCAUCAGGGAUUUUCAAGCGGUCAAUGAGGAUCGGUACUUUUCGGGUUACAUGACAUAGAUUUGCAUUACAGAAUGCCAUAUGAAAUUGGAGGGUGGAUAGCUGGAAUUACUGCUGCCUUGGUGCUAGCCAUUGUUAUAGUCUAUAUCAUCAAAGCCAAGUAUAAAAGAUCACGUGUGCAAAAUGUUCAGAGGAACACGAGAAUGACAGUGAUCAGCAUAGAGUACAUCUAAUACAUAUUGAGAUAAUUAAUUACAUCCAUUAUGAUAAAACACUACAAGAGCGACACACUAUGGAUAUGGCAUAGCAUGUGUUCGGUUCAGCAAUGGCAUCAUGAUAUCACAUGACCUUAACCAAAAGCUAACUGUAGUAUCAAAGUUUUUACUGAAGAAAAUGAAAGUGUCCACAGAAAAUGAAAGUAUCCACGGAAAAUGAAAGUAUCAAAGUUUUUUACCAUAUGACUGAAAAGUUAACAACAGUAUCAACGAUUUACUCUAAUGAAGCCAAGGUUAUUACGUAAAAAAGCAAAAGUUUUUAAUGCUUAUUAUGUUGAAAUAUGGAAACUUAUUCAGACUAUCAACGAUUUCAUGGAAGGUUUUGGUAAAACUAUUUGGUUUGCUAUAUAAUUUUCAGUAAGGGUAGUAAGAAAUAGGAUUCCGAAAACAAAAUACUGCUAAUUGUUUGACCUUCAUUCAUUGAUUUAAAGGACAUGGAAUUUGAUACUCUGUUUGGUAAUUAUUUUGUUGACUGUUUGUAACCUUCGUCCAAGCCUAAUUGAUCAACUGUAAUGUUGCUGUGUUUUUGAUACAAAUGAAUAGCUGCAAUUAUUUUCAUGGUUGUUUAUAUUUAAUUUUUUUUCUUUUGGUUAUAUAUUUUGAUGUUAGUUGUUAUUGCUACAUAAAUUAUGUUUUAAAUGUUGUUUUGUCUCUCUGUAUUCCAGAUUGUAAGUGUUUUAAAAACUCAUCUUAGAAUAGGUUGUUGAAUUGAAUUAUGUAAAGUAGAUUAUUGAAGAACAAUUUACUUAACCAUUGCCUAAUUCGAUGACCCACUCCUUUCAAUUACACCUAUAUUGAAUUCAACCUCGAUUGAUUUAAUUAUUUUGAUUUAACAAUGUCCAGAUAGAAGAAACAAAUAUUGUGAAUUGUAUUGAGUGGUGGGAUUUCACAUAGGACAUGGUUUAACAAUGUUCAGUUCAUAAAAGAAACAAAUAUUGUAAAUUGCAUUGAGUGGUGGGAUUUUACAUGGGACAUGGUAUGUUGAAAAUUGUCUUCAAAAUGUUCAACCAAACACUUGAAUGUUUGUUCGAUAAUGUCCAUAGUAGAAUAAGACAUUACACAUUUAUGCUUAGUUUAUAAGUAAUAUAGAAUAUAUAAGAAUGACUCCUUUUAAAGCUAGAUAGAUGACUAUAUAUAGUAAUGUACUGUAGGACCUCUGCUUCAUUGAUUAGAUAUUUGCCACAUCACAGGAAUUUCAAAAUCUGACAAGGAUGGAGAGGAGAUGAGUUGAUUUAGCCUAUUUCAUGUGUUACGCUGAAUUGUGCCAAGUUUUGUAAAUACAUUUUCAAACUAUGUUUUUGAAUUUGUCAUUCAUACCACUGAGAGAACUUAGGUCAUUUAAUCGUAUUGCCAUAAUUCAUUUCAUUAAUCACAAUUUGAUGUUGGAAGUUGAUCAAAAUGUCUUCCUCUGACUGUCAUGUAUUAUGAUAUAAUAAAGAUUUAGAAAAUGUA